GAUGAACGCUGGCGGCGUGCCUAAUACAUGCAAGUCGAGCGAACAGACGAGGAGCUUGCUCCUCUGACGUUAGCGGCGGACGGGUGAGUAACACGUGGAUAACCUACCUAUAAGACUGGGAUAACUUCGGGAAACCGGAGCUAAUACCGGAUAAUAUAUUGAACCGCAUGGCUCAAUAGUGAAAGACGGUUUUGCUGUCACUUAUAGAUGGAUCCGCGCCGCAUUAGCUAGUUGGUAAGGUAACGGCUUACCAAGGCAACGAUGCGUAGCCGACCUGAGAGGGUGAUCGGCCACACUGGAACUGAGACACGGUCCAGACUCCUACGGGAGGCAGCAGUAGGGAAUCUUCCGCAAUGGGCGGAAGCCUGACGGAGCAACGCCGCGUGAGUGAUGAAGGUCUUCGGAUCGUAAAACUCUGUUAUUAGGGAAGAACAAAUGUGUAAGUAACUAUGCACGUCUUGACGGUACCUAAUCAGAAAGCCACGGCUAACUACGUG
rnacentral:rRNA from 1 species